rnacentral:lncRNA from 1 species
UUGUUAUCGGUGUUAUUAAAAAAUCAAGGCGCUACUCACUGCAUCGUUUGGGUUCGGCGGACCGUCGGUGAUAUAGAUUCAGAGAGAGGAGGUGAAUUCAUUCGGCCACAGAAUUCGGUACCGAUCAUCAAUCUUGACAAUUAACGGCAGACUGCACACGUCGGCUUGGAGAACGCCUUACGAGCUCCUCUCGUCGUGACGCCUUCGUCGUCAUUUUCUUCCGCUGCCGGUCAUUCAGCCAUUGCAGUGAGGCUACUAUUUUGCUUACUUUUGGCUCCUACAUAUUUGUGCUCCUACGUUUUGCGCUUUCAGACUUGAGUGAGCCGGCGGCGACGUCUACAACUAACAAAGAGACUACUCCCGCGGCAAGAAUUCGCGGAUCGAAACAGGAAAGCGUUACGACUGCAGCUGGUGCAUCGCUCUCAAAUAACACACCCGCGAUACAGAAUCGGCAGCAAAUUGUUACUGUGUACCUAAAAUAAUAAUAAUGAUAAUAACAAUGUGUGACCAGAACGCGAUGCCGCAGCAGCCGAUGAAAAGCACAUCACUUGACUUUUUCACUUUAUCCCAUCGAUUCCGUCGUCACCAAUAUCGUCGUAAUAGCGGAUGAUGGCGGGUCUUCGGGCUUGUGCCUACCGCAAACAAGGAACAGGGCCGAAAGUUAUCGCUAACGUUGUUGUUAUUAUUGGUAGGGUCGUCGCCAUAGCUUUUCGUUUCUACCUCGUCAAUGCCAGUUGCAAAUGGUAACGAAAACAACUACACGAGCUAUACCACAUUAACAAUUGUCGCCGAAUAUAUAUAUAUAUAUAUGCAAACUGGUACUCCGCUUAUUGAUCCCGUGCCUGUUGGUGAUGGAUAAUAGGAUUGUUGAUCUGCGAAUUGUCACUGUGCAAUAGGCAGAUACCUUGUGUUCGUCACUUUCUCGCUUUUUGUCAUUCCCCUACUGCAAAAACAAAGACAACGCGUUACAGGGUGACGGUGGUUUAUGUAUAAACCUAUGAUAUUAUCAGUGGGGCCGCCACGGCGACUAUCUGUCUGUAACUUUUGUUAUCGCUAUUGAUGUUUUUCCAACUUGCUUCAUUCACUGUAGCUCAACGUCUUUCGUUUCCCACUGUUGUUCAACGUUGUUGUUGUUGUUGUUGCUGCUACUGUGCUUGCAAUCGUUGCUUCCCGCGGCUCCGUGUAUCCACCAAACUAGCAGGUCACUAGUAGCACUGUCUACUUGGAGCACUUUUUCCGCAGUUCAUUGGCGCUUGUGGAAGUUUUAGUAGAAGCAGGGCUCGUUGUUGUUGUCAUCAUUGUCGUCGUUGUAUCUGCUGUUGUUGGUGUUGUUUUUAUUGUUGUCGUCGUCGUCGUCGUCGCCGUAAUCGACAACACAAACGAAAAUGCUGGCACCAGCUGCAGCGGUGCUGAUGGCGGCUGUGGCGGAAAUCUAGGUUGUUGGUCGAUCGCCGACGGCCUAUACCACUUGCCUAUCUGGCUGCUUGGUUGCCGCCUGUUCGCUUGCUGGCUCGCCUAUCGUUCACUGCUCACUGUUAGCUUGCCGCUUCUCCGCUCUAUCUACUAUUGCCAGCAGCAGCAGCAGCAGCAGUAUGUCCUGCUAGUGCUGCUGCUACCGCUGCCGCUGCCGUCUCUGAUGUCACUCUUCCACCAACAAACGGCCACGACACAGAGUGAGCGCACAAACGAACGAGCCACUACUGACGGACGGUGCGAUGCGGCUACGAACAGCAGCAGCAGCAGCAGCAGCAGCAGCAGCAGUAGCAGCAGCAGCAGCAGCAGCAGGACCGGCGGCAGAUUUGGCGGUGGCGGCAACAUAAACGAACGAACCGAUAGAAGGAGGACAGCGGACCGACGAGCGAACUGCUGCCGCACUGUUUCAAGCUCCCGUAGUAGUCUUUGUUAAACUGCUGCUGCUACUGUCGCCGCUGAUGGCAGCACACUCCUCACUGGUGCUGCUCACAUAUGCAACCGCUCCAUCGCUGCCGCCGCCGCCGCCGCUGCUGCUGCUACUACUCGCCGUUGACUACCUGCUUGCGAGUUCGUUUGAAACCCUCAGCCGGCAGCAACAACAGCAGCAGCAGCUUCAGCCAAUGACCGCCGCAGCAGCAGCAGCAGCACCGCUGCCGUUCAAACUAAUGCCCCCGCCAACAUUAGCGAUUGCCGCUGCUAAUUGUGCCACUGCCCUCGCUCGUAACUUGCAAACCAUAGACUUGUCCGUCUGUACCUUUGCGCCUGUGUCUGCUUGUUGUUUCGAUAAAGUCGUAGUGGUGUAGGCGAUGCCGCUGCUCUUGCUUUCACUGCCGCUGCUACUGCUGGAAGUCAUGUACUUGUUCUUAUUGCCAUCGCUGCCGCUACGACGACAAAUGCUCUUGGCGCGCCGCCCUCUGCCCCUGUCCCUAUGUCGGAACUCCUCGUCGUUGAUGCCUGCCAGCAUAGGGGCCGCUGUUAGCCGUCUGUCUGUUUGUCGGCCCCAUUCUCCUUUGUUGUCGUCGUCAUAGCGGCGGGAUUAGUUUCGUUAUCGUUGGCUGGCUAGCUGGCUGGCAGGCGCUGGGUGAGCUGAACCGCGGCCAGCGCACACGCACACAUGGAGACACGCCGCGCGAGACGCCUGCAGCGCCACCACCAGAAGCCUAAUGGCUAGAUGACUGCUGUCUUAAUUGCUGGCGCUCAACGGCGGUGGCGACGGCACCCAGUCCGGUCCUUUCCACCGCCGUAGCAUCUCGCCUCGGAAGUAAGCUCAUAUAUGCUUUGCAUGUUAAAUGGUAGCGGCGGUGAUGCGCUUCAGUCUCGUCUCCGGUGGCUGGGUGGCGCUGCCUGUCACCGUCUGCUUGUUGUCUGUAUGUGUGUAAAUAUGUUGCCUGCCAGCAUCUUGUAGAGUGCGAGCCUUCGGUUGCGCACUCACCCGCCGGCUUACCCACCCGCCGUCGGCCACCUGCGAUCACGCUGUCCACCCGCCUGCCACCGUAUACAGCAGCGGCAGUAGUUAGACAAACAGACACGCGGCCGAUGAGUGAGGGAACCCUACAGAUUUUAUCGGGUCGUCGUAUGAGCGGCGUGUAGUAUAGUCAAAUGAUACAGUGAGCCACAGCCUUACACGGACCAUUAGAUCAUUUGUGCUAGCGCCCAAAAGUUGCGGCAGGAC